CACGUAGGGCGCAAGCGUUGUCCGGAAUUAUUGGGCGUAAAGCGCGCGUAGGCGGCCCGGUAAGUCCGUUGUGAAAGUCAAAGGCUCAACCUUUGAACGCCGAUGGAUACUGCCGGGCUAGAGUCCGGAAGAGGCGAGUGGAAUUCCUGGUGUAGCGGUGGAAUGCGCAGAUAUCAGGAGGAACACCGGUGGCGAAGGCGGGUCUCUGGGCCGAUACUGACGCUGAGGAGCGAAAGCGUGGGGAGCAAACAGG
rnacentral:rRNA from 1 species